GAGGUGAGGCGGGGUGAGAGUCAGCCAGAGCGAUGCACUCCGGGACAAGCAGCCCGGGAGUCGCUGAGAACAAGGUACCCACAGUGCAACGGUGAUGGCAGCAGGCGGAAACGGACGGCUGUAACACCAGAGCCAGAAUGCACUGGAGGCGAGACUUGCUCAUCUACCUCUCGCACGUUGCCACGAAAGCCAGGACAGGCGGGUCCCCACAGCAAGGCGCGCAGCUCUGUCUCCACUGCCUUACCGCUCUGACCUAGGGUAAACGGAGUGGACCGCACCCUCUGCCCGUCCGGGAGGUGACCGCAGUGGAGCCCCCGCCUUGCACCGGGCCUGGGCACCCUUACGGGCCCAGCGUGAGAGCUUGCGCCCUUGGGCUUGGGGCAGGGGAGCUGCAGCCCAGAAGCGCGCGCCGCCCCAGGACGUUCUGGCUGUGGUUGGGGGUGAAGCCUGACCCCGCUGUCUAAGGGAAACCGGAGCCAGUUACUGUUAGCAGGCUUGGGGCUCUCAGGGAGAGGUCCGGCCCUCCCGCGCCGUCAGCAGCCUGUAAGUAAAUCCAGGGAUGAGGCUGCAGGUCCCUGCUGACGCUCAGAGAACGGACUCCCUGGCGCUCGGAGACAGCGACGUGCCGGGAAGGCUCCCGCACCGGCCGGGGCCCCGUGCUGAAAACACGCGCAGAAGAGAGACCCCGGGUGCUUAAGCAGCCCGCGCGCUGCGUGCACGAGCUCUCCCGGGCACCCACAGGUGAUCGCCCAGCACUGCCCUUCUCCUUGCCAUGUUUGUGGUCUCUUCCGUACAAGCACCCUGCAGUUCCCGGGAGGUGAGGAGUCCCGUCAGCAGGGUACAGACGGAGCUGUCCAAGUCCGUACACGCUGAGCAGCAGCGUCCGACGGGCCAUCUCCACAUACUCCUGUGCACUGCACCAGCUCAAGAUUACAGCGGACGCGGCCAUGCUGUUAGCAGAGGUGACCCCGGGACAGCGAAAGCCUGUUCAAGCUCCCUGCCGCUGGGAUUGAUGGCGGCGGCGGCGCCGCUGGGAAGCAGGUCCAGCGUGCACGCUCUGUCAGUCAGCUUUCUACACUGAGUACACCCCCAAAGCCUCACCUGUUGGGGCUGGAGAGGUGGCUCAGCAGUUCAGAGCACAGGCUGCUCCUCCAGAACCCAGGUUUGAGUCCCAGCACCCACAUGGCAGCCACAACCGUCUGUGGCUCCAGUUCAGGGAUCCAGUGCCCUGUUCUGGCAGCUGUGUGCCCCAGAUGUGCAUGACGUUAACACGCAUCCUAAAACAUAGUCUAUGGACUCAUAUAGUAGGAGAUGACGGACUUGACUGACACAGGGAAUAUGUCAGGCUUCCUUUGUGUCCAGACCUGAGGUUUUGGUUUGAUGUCUCUUUGGGUCAACUGGCCCAGCCAAAUAUUAAUAUGGUAUUACUAACACCGAAUUAUUAAUGUUUUUGGCAAGAGCAGUCGGCCAAGCGGAGGCUACAGUUGUGUGGCCAUCUUCACAGCAGCUGUGCAGUUGACAAAACUGACAUAUUCACCCUAUUUAUGUUCUCUUGGGAGCUUAAGACACUGCUGAAGGGUCGGAGGGAGUGAGCUGCUUCUGCGGGUAGCCUCGAAGUGAAGAGACUGAGCUCACACCUAUAAGCAGUCAGCUAAAGGGCGGGCCGCAGUCUGGCCAUGGCAGCUGGCUCGGUUGCUCUUAGGCUUAGGGUAGGCAAAGCAGUAUGGUGAAGGACCCACUCCAAGGGAGGGUCUGUCAAGGGCCCGUGAGCUGCUCCCUCACUGCAGCCCCCCACCGUCUCUACCGCCUCCCGAGACACCAUCAGUUAUGAGUGAUCCAUUGCUGUGCCCAAGCCCUGUUGUCCACUCAGCUCCAAACAUGACACGGAGGACCAGACCUUCAACACAGGGCCUUUAGCACAGGCUCUUUCUAUCUAAACCAUUCUCCCUUCCCCUCUUUUUUCUAGUUAUAUGCAAAGAUGUGUGAUCUUAUAAAAGAAAAUUACCAGUGGGUGGUGAUGAGAUAGAAAUGCUCUCCCAAAGCUCUAUGAUAAUGAUGACCUCUUUGUCAUCUGGGAGAUAGAGUCCUCUUUGUCGUCUGGGAGAGAGAUGGGCUGUGCUUGGGCGAACAGUCAAUGGAAUGUAACCUGGCUUUUUAUCCCACUAGUAGCUAUGUCUAAAGAGCACAACAUUUUUCUUUGAGGAGAAGAAAAAAAAGCUGUUAUGUGGCAUUGUAGACCCACAUUUCCAACAUGGCCAUUGUAUUUCUGGCCUCCUGUUCUGGAAUCAUGCCAUAGCACCUUACAAAAUGGUACCUUGUGACCUUGAAAGGUGCCACUAGAAUUGUAGACGGGCAGAGGCCACUGCGCACCUUGUUAUCAUCCUGUCUAAAUUAGCACAGUGUCUUGGUCAGGGCUUCUGUUGCUGCAUGAAACACCAUAACCAAAAGCAAGUCAGGGAGGACAAGGUUUACUCUGCUCACACUUCCACACGUAGGUGGUCAGGGCAGGAAGUCCAGCAGGGUGGGAACCCGGAGGCAGGAGCUGAUGCAGAGGCCAUGGAGGGUGCUGUGCCCUGGCAUGUUCCCCAUGGUUCAGCUGCUUUCUUAUAGAACCCAGGACUACAUUAGCCCAGGGAUGACCCCACCCACAACGGUCUGUGCUCCCCCAACACACACCAUUGAUCAUUCAUUAAGAAAAUGCCCUAUGUACAGGCCUGCCUGCAGCCCUAUCUCAUAGAGGCAUCUUCUUAACUGAGUUCCCUCCUCUCAGAUGACCUCAGCUUGUCAAGCUGACAAUUCUGCAUACAUGGGAAGUAACAGGCUUCUGGCGGCAUUUCUACACAUGCUUCGUUCUUGCUGAUUUCCAUCCUGGCUUUCCCCAUUCCCUGUCCAAGUCCUGCUUCCCCUCCUCCUCCAGCAUCCCCUUCU